rnacentral:lncRNA from 1 species
CACAGAGCUCAGGGAAACACUUUUACUGUUUUAUUAUUAGUAUUAUGUUUAUUUGUUUGUUUUGAGACAAAGUCAAGCUCUGUCACCUAAACUGGAGUGCAGUGGAACAAUCACAGUUCACUGCAGUCUCCAUCUCGUGGACUCAGGCAGUCUUCCUGCCUCAGCCUCCCCAGUAGCUGGGACUAUAGGCACAUGCUACCAUGCCUGGCUCUACCAGUUUAUUAUAAACAAUAUUACCAGCCAGGCACGGUAGAGCACACCUGUAAUUCUAGCACUUUGAGAGACUCAGGUGGGAGGAUUGCUUGAAGCCAGGAGUUCAAGAGCAGCCUGGACAACAUAGUGAGAUCCUGUCUCUACAAAAAAUAACAAAAUUAGCCAGGCAUGAUGGCACACACAGUCCCAGCUACUUGGGAGGCUGAGGUGGGAAGAUCAUUUGAGCCUAGGAGUUGGAGGCUACAGUGAGCUAUAAUGCCACUGCACUCCAGCCUGAAAAAACAGGGCAAGACCAUUUCUGAAAAAAAAAAAAAAAAAAAAAAAAUAAUAAUAAUAAUAAUAAUAAUAAUAAAAUAAAUUUUUAAAAAGGAUAUUACCAAGGAUACAGAUGAAGAGAUAUGUAGGGUGAGGGCUGCAGUAAACAUGAGAGUGCAGAUAUCUCUUCCACAUACUGAUUCCAUUUCCUUUGGAUAUAUUCCCAGCAGUCAGAUGGCUGGAUCAUAUGGUAGUUCCAUUAAUUACUGCUAAAAGCUAAACAUCAGAUUUUUAUACGUAUAGGUGGCAUACAUUCAUCAGAAAUAUAUCGCGCUUCAUAAAUACUUGUACUUUUGGCUGCACAUUAUAAUGUAGUAUGGCAUAGUAUUGAGUAAUAGCAUAUCAAUUUAUUCUCUUCUGUUAAUAAACUUUAAAAACCAAAUACAUUAAUCUGGGCAAGGUAGUGUGUGCCUGCAAUCCCAGCUACUCAAGAGGCCGAUGUAGAAGGAUCACUUGAGCCCAAGCGUUCAAGACGGGCCUGAACAACAUAGCAAGAACUAGUCUAAAAACAAAAAGAUACAUUAAAUAUAUUACAGCUUAUUCAUUUGAAUUAAAAAGUGAAAGCUGGACAUAGUAGCUCACACCUGUAAUCCCAGCACUUUGGGAGGCCAAAGGCGGGAGGAUCACUUGAGGUCAGGAGUUCGAGACCAGCCUGGCCAACAUGGUGAAACCCCAUGUCUACUAAAAAUACAAAAAUUAGCUGGACAUGGUGGCGGGUGCCUGUAAUCCCAGCUACUCAGGAGGCUGAGGCAGGAGAAUUGCUUGAACCCAAGAGGCAGAGGUUACAGUGAGCCAAGAUUGUACCACUGCACUCCAGACUGGGCAACAGAGUGAGACUGGGAAAAAAAAAAGUUAUCUUUCUAGG